GAUGGGUGAGUAACGCGUGAGGAUCUGCCUAUAGGUUGGGGACAACAGAUGGAAACGUCUGCUAAUACGCAAUGUGCCGAGAGGUGAAAGCUUUAGUGCCUGUAGAUGAGCUCGCGUCCGAUUAGCUAGUUGGUAGGGUAAAGGCUUACCAAGGCGACGAUCGGUAGCUGCUCUGAGAGGAUGAUCAGCCACACUGGGACUGAGACACGGCCCAGACUCCUACGGGAGGCAGCAGUGGGGAAUUUUCCGCAAUGGGCGAACGCCUGACGGAGCAAUACCGCGUGCGGGACGAAGGCUUUUGGGUCGUAAACCGCUUUUGUUAGGGAAGAACAAAAUGACGGUACCUAACGAAUCAGCAUCGGCUAACUCCGUGCCAGCAGCCGCGGUAAUACAGGGGGAUGCAAGCGUUAUCCGGAAUUAUUGGGCGUA
rnacentral:rRNA from 1 species